rnacentral:rRNA from 1 species
UAAGACGAACCGUGCGAACGUUGUUCGGAUUCACUGGGCUUAAAGGGCGCGUAGGCGGCUCCUCAAGUCGGGGGUGAAAUCGUUCCGCUUAACGGGACCAUUGCCUCCGAUACUGGGGAGCUGGAGGGGGAUAGGGGUGCGCGGAACUUCCGGUGGAGCGGUGAAAUGCGUAGAUAUCGGAAGGAACGCCGGUGGCGAAAGCGGCGCACUGGAUCCUUUCUGACGCUGAGGCGCGAAAGCCAGGGGAGCAAACGGGAUUAGAUACCCCGGUAGUCCUGGCCCUAAACGAUGGGUACUAGAUUGUGGGCUUGCAUGGGCUCACAGUCGAAGCCAAAGUCUUAAGUACCCCGCCUGGGGAGUAUGGUCGCAAGGCUG